rnacentral:lncRNA from 10 species
GGACUCAUGCAGGACUUUGAUUUGGAAUAUGGAGGGGUAAUUUGGAAUAAUGGAGGGAGCUGAACAGGGCACAGAGCUGGUGCUCAUUUUGAGGAGCUAGAGUGGUCAGCGGCUGUGGCAGCAGCUCCCUCAGUGGUUGGAGUGCAGUGGUGUGAAUAUGGUUUACUGAGGCCUCAAUCUCCUGGGUUCAAGUGAUCUUCAUAUCUCAGCCUUCUGAGUAGCUGGGGCUACAGGUGUAACCAGAACAGCUGCAGGUGGGGCCAGGAAGGGCAAGAGUGGAUCCCAAGAUCCUCCAGGUUGACACGUCACUCCUGAAAACAUUCUGCUUUAAACAGAAGCCACUUCGCUGCUCUGACGUGAAUUUCUAUAACCAAGACAUACUCUUCGACCUAGAGAGAUCAAGGCAUGAAAAAAUGGAACUUCUCAAGGAUGAGGAAACAGACUUUGAGAGGUAAAAUAACACGACGGAAUCUAUGCACUACCUGAUGGCUGAGCUGGGACUUAUCCCCAGGUCCAGUGGCCUCUAGAGCACAGGUGUGUUACUACCACCCCAUUCUGCCCAAGUGAAGCAAGCAGCAGAGAAAUAAUAUGCAGGUUUGCUUUCCAAGGAACCCAAAUGAAGAUAGAAUGACUCAAAGAGAAGAUGUAUAGAAGUACUUACAGCAUGUGGCACAUGGUCUCUGUGCCUGGGCACCAAGCAGACUGUGGUAUCAAUUACAGUGGACCCUGUGCAUCCCUCAGCCAUCCAGGCAGGUGCAGACACUCCUCAGGCUAGGGAUAGCCUCAGGAGACUGACUCAGCCAGAAGGUUGCCCUGGAGAAGACCAGGUAGUCCCUGUUGGCAUGCUCAGAGGACGUGUAGAUCUCUCAUGGAUGGUCAGGACAAUCACCAGUACCAGGAUAUCUGGAUCAGGUAAAAGAUAUUCCAAGAGGAGGUUCAGUUCAGAAGGCAAAUGGGGCAGCAAUCAGCACUGAGAUCCCUGUUCAUACACAAUGGGUAAGAGACCCAGGGACCUAAUUCAGCCCAAGGGAAUGGGUUCAGGUGGCGUCUGGGUGAGAAUCAGGGCCAGCGACCAUCAUCUGGGACUGAGAGGACAACUCAAUUCAGAGGCAGAAAUUCAGAUUUCUUGAGGGGCAAUCUAGCAUUUAUCUUUGAAUUAGCAUGAAUUCUUAUAGAAAUGCAGUGUUGCUUUAUAUGUAUAUGAUUUUGAGUUUACACAAAUAGUACAGUAUUAUGAACCUUGUUCUGUAUUUCACUUUUUAAAUCCUAGCACUGAUUUUUUAAAAACAUUUUCUUUCAGGUAUAUUUGUUUAUUUAUUUACUUAUGUAUAACUUUUAUACAGUAACAUGAAAAAUAUUAAGUGUGUAGCUCAAUGAAUUUUUAAUAACAGCUUUGUUGAGAUCUAAAAUCUCAAUCACUGAUCAUAAAAUUCACAGUUUUAAAGUUUCAGUAGUUUUUGGUAUAUUCACAGUUGUGCAAUCUUUACCACUGUCUAAUGCAGAAUAUCUUCAUCACCCCCAAAAUAAAUCCUGUACCCAUUAACAGUCACUUCCUGUUCUUCCCUGCUCCUCACCCGUGCACCCAUUAGUCUACUUUCUGUCUUAUGGAUUUGCCUCUGCCUCUGUGGAUGUUGGAUAUUUCAUAUAAGUAGAAUCAUAUAUGACCUUUCAUUUCUGGCUUCUUUUACUUAGUAUAAUGUUUUCAAGGUUCACCUAUGUCGUGGCAUGCAUAAGUACUUCAUUUCUUUUUACUGCUCAGUAAUAUUCCAUUGUAUGGAUAUACCACAUUUUGUUUAUCCAUUCUUCAGUUGAUGGACAUUUGGGUUGUCUCCACAUUUAAGGUAUUAUUGACAUGAAUAAUGCUGCUAUGAACAUUCAUGUAUAAGUUUUUGUGUGGACAUGUAGUUUCAAUUCUUUUGGGUGUAUACCUAUGAGUGGAAUUCCUGGAUCACAUGCUAAUUAUAUCUUUAACAUUUUGAGGAACUGCCAAACUGUUUUCCAAAAUGGUUGCACCAUUUUACAUUCUCACCAGGAAUAUAUGAGGGUUCCAAUUUCUCUACCUCCUUGCCAACACUUGUUAUUUUCUUUUUAAAUUAUAGCUAUCCUAGUGGGAGUGAAGUGGUAUCUCAUUGCACAUUUUUUUUUGCAUUUUCUGAAUGACUAGUGAUGUUGAGUAUUGUUUCAUGUGCUUAUUUUAGUGACCAUUUGUAUAUCUUCUUUGAAUAAAUAUCUACUCAAGUGUU